CCUGGCUCAGGAUGAACGCUAGCGGUAGGCCUAACACAUGCAAGCCGAGCGGUAGAGAUUCUUCGGAAUCUUGAGAGCGGCGUACGGGUGCGGAACACGUGUGCAACCUGCCUUUAUCAAGGGGAUAGCCUUUCGAAAGGAAGAUUAAUACCCUAUAAUAUAUGAUUCGGCAUCGGAUUAUAUUGAAAACUACGGUGGAUAAAGAUGGGCACGCGCAAGAUUAGCUAGUUGGUGAGGUAACGGCUCACCAAGGCGACGAUCUUUAGGGGGCCUGAGAGGGUGAUCCCCCACACUGGUACUGAGACACGGACCAGACUCCUACGG
rnacentral:rRNA from 1 species